UACGUAGGGGGGCAAGCGUUGUCCGGAAUUAUUGGGCGUAAAGAGCGCGUAGGCGGUCCGAUAAGUCGGCUGUGAAAGUCAGGGGCUCAACCCUUGAAAGCCGGCCGAUACUGUCGGACUAGAGUCCGGAAGAGGCAAGUGGGAAUUCCCGGUGUAGCGGUGAAAUGCGCAGAUAUCAGGAAGAACACCCGUGGCGAAAGCGGCUCUCUGGAACGGUACUGACGCUGAGACGCGAAAGCGUGGGGAGCGAACAGG
rnacentral:rRNA from 1 species